AGUGAACGCUGGCGGUAGGCCUAACACAUGCAAGUCGAACGGCAGCACAGGAGAGCUUGCUCUCUGGGUGGCGAGUGGCGGACGGGUGAGGAAUACAUCGGAAUCUACUUUUUCGUGGGGGAUAACGUAGGGAAACUUACGCUAAUACCGCAUACGACCUACGGGUGAAAGCAGGGGACCUUCGGGCCUUGCGCGAUUGAAUGAGCCGAUGUCGGAUUAGCUAGUUGGCGGGGUAAAGGCCCACCAAGGCGACGAUCCGUAGCUGGUCUGAGAGGAUGAUCAGCCACACUGGAACUGAGACACGGUCCAGACUCCUACGGGAGGCAGCAGUGGGGAAUAUUGGACAAUGGGCGCAAGCCAGAUCCAGCCAUACCGCGUGGGUGAAGAAGGCCUUCGGGUUGUAAAGCCCUUUUGUUGGGAAAGAAGUCCAGCCGGCUAAUACCCGGUUGGGAUGACGGUACCCAAAGAAUAAGCACCGGCUAACUUCGUGCCAGCCGCCGCCGUAA
rnacentral:rRNA from 1 species